GACAGAGGUGCCGAGCGUUAGGCGGAAUCACUGGGCUUAAAGCGUGUGUAGGCGGAUCUGUAAGUACCUUGUGAAAUCCCACGGCUCAACCGUGGAACUGCUUGGUAUACUGCGGGUCUUGAGCCACCUAGGGGCAAGUGGAACAAACGGUGGAGCGGUGAAAUGCGUAGAUAUCAUUUGGAACGCCAAUGGUGAAAACAGGUAGCUGGGGCUGUGCUGACGCUGAGACACGAAAGCCAGGGGAGCAAACGGG
rnacentral:rRNA from 1 species